ACUCGCCGGCUCUCCCUCUCCGCCGCGCCGCGAGAGACCUCCGCUUCCGUCGUCGACCCCUCCACUCCAUAGACGGCCUCGCCCUUCAGAACCCCCCUCCCAUUCCUGCCACACGAGCCCCAACCACAAGCGAGACGGCAGAUCGGGGUGAACACCGUGGCCGCGAGCUUGACACCGCGAAUUGGUACUGACCUCCCAACCUCAUCUCCGGCCACCGACGCCCGGCGGGAUGUUGGCCGACCAGCCCCCAAAGAAGAGCCCCACGAGCUCAUCCCUGCCGCCGGCGGACCAGCACAGGGCGUCAAGGCCUCCAGGCGGCUCGUCCCUGACGAGCUAGGCGCAGAUCAGGCCCAUGUUCCCACGUGGCCGACCUCCAUGCCGCCGGGGAACUCAUCUGCUGCCUCCUCAUCUCUGCUGCAAGAGCAUAGCUCCUGCUGUCCUCUGAAGGUAGAAGCCACACCAUCUCAUGUUUUUUAUCUUGUUCAGAACUGUUAUUGCAGAUGCCAUGACUCUAGUACUCCUGUGUUUACCCCAACUCUACAGCCAUCAACGUGUGUAGAACUAGCUUAUUUAAUCCUUUACAUGCUUAUCUUCAUGUGUGUGGAAUUAGGAUUGUAUAGCACGGAUGGAUUGAACCGCAUGUGAGUGAGAGGUGCCGGCCUAGGUGUGUGCAGUAAUGUGUGCGUAGAUGUUCAUCUUAGGAAGGUUUAGGGAAGAAAAAUAAACCUAUGAUAACACAUGGCUGCAGGGUGAAUACUGAUCGAAUCACCUUGUGAUGUUGUUGAUGUACCUAGCAAAUUCAGACACAAAUCUAUCACACCCCAAUUAGUUAUUACACCGCUUCUAUUUACUUAUUUCUCUAGCAACACCGUCUCCAUGGAGGAGCAACAUCCUUCACUAGCUAAUCGCUGCACUCGGGCUGUCCACGCACGGACGCUGCGGUUGGCGAGUGGCAAGGAUGCACGGCGGCAGGUUCAGGACCGACGCUCGGAUCAUGCCGGGGAUAAGAACGGCUACGGCUGACUGCUAGGUGCAUCUCGCCGCCUUCUCUUCUGUUAAACCGCUUGAACCCUCUUUAGUAGAGUUGCUAGCCACUUUAUGUAAGUUGAUUAUCCCGGGUAAUUGAAUUGUCCAUAUCCUUAAGUAAGUUGUUUACGACUCAUUUUUAUCAUGUUUUGUUUUGAUGCAAUAUCCAUGCUAUGUUUCACUUUAGUAGAGUUUCUAGUCGCUUAAUUAAGUUGAUUAUCCACUGUAACUAAGUUGCUCAUACCCUUAAGUAAAUUGUUUAUCUUACGCGGUCAACAUUUCUAAGUUCUUUUUUGACUAAAUGGUUAGGUUUGAUAUUGAUUUUCAUUAAGUUUGAUUGUUCAUUUGCGGAUCCGAGGCGAGUCCGUCCAUCCGCAACGCCAUUGAUUCUCCAGAGCGGGAGUGGUCUGAGACCGCCUUUCUUUGCAUUAUCUGAGUUUCUCUUUCCCCUUAGAGGGCUUUGGGAGGUUGUGGUGUCUGUGGUUGUGUAGAUGGUAUUUAGGUCGAGGAUAGUUUGGUGGUGUCGGUUGUAACGUGUGUCAAAGUUGUUGUUCGUGUUCUUGUCUACAGUGAUCAAGUGUGUUGGCUUGGAGUCACCACUCUUCCUAUCAGUGCAUUGAAUAGCAAUGCUUUUUGCGCUUUGGUGAAAAAACCAUGGUUACGUUGAUUACAGAAAAUAACUAAGUUGCUACUUUCCUUUUAUGGUUCAACAUGCUUAAGUUGCAUACUACUUUAACUGAGUUGUUUGUUCAACAUGGAUAAAUUGUGUAAUACAUAUAGCUAAGUUCGCCUUUCACACCAUGGUUUUCUAGAUUGAUUUUUAACAUCUAGUUUAGUUUUGUUGUUAACCAUGGUGAGAAGCAUCUUCAGUCAUAAGAAGGAACUACCCAAGCUUGUGGCAGGCUGAGUUACUUUCUCUGAACUGUAGUAUUUCGCUUUACUAUUUUGGCUGUGUUUUCAACUUCUCUGUUUUUGCUACCACAUUCUCGACUUUCUAUGUUGUUUACAUAUUCACGAUCCUCUCUUCUCUGGACCUAUGAGCUAGCUUACACCAUGAGUGACACAUAGCUUGGCCAGAGCUGCAAUGCUGGAUGGAUCACAUGGAAUGACAGCUGACCUCAUCAGGGGACAUUUUAGAUAUCGACCGAACGAUAUCAGAGUUUGCAAUGAUGAUAAAAAGUAUGCUGGUGUUUGUUGUCAUCAUCAUGGUUAAUCAAUAGGUUUUUUCAUCUGUUCUCUACCUAAAAGGUUGGAUAAACUGUUACUCACAACUACAAUGUAGUAGUACUGAUUUGGCUAAAUGGUAGGGGGCUGAUGUUUUUGCCGCUUUCAUGCUACUGAAUUUGAUUAAGUUGUUUGUUCAACAUGCUUAAGUUGAAUAUUGUAUUAAACUAAGUUUCUUUUUGGUAGCAUGCUUUAGUUGAUUUUAUCUUCCAAUUUAGCUUGAUAUUUAGCAAUACCGUUUAUGUUGCAUACUGAUUUGAUUGAGUUGUUUGUUUCAACUUAACUAAAUUGUUUGCUGAAUAUAUUAAAGUUGGUUUCCACAUCAUACUUUUUAGUUUGAUGUCUAGCAUCUACUUUUACUUUGAGGUUUUAGCAUCAUCCUUAAGUUGCUUUACACUUUAUCCUAAGUUGCUUAUUCCAUUACAUUAAGUUGAUUAAUGACUUUAGCUUAAGUUGAUUAGUCAUUUCAGCUUAAGUUGCAUUCCACUUUAUACUAAGCUACUUCUUCCAUUUAACUAAAUUGAUUAGUCACUUUAGCUUAAGUUGCUUUCUACGUUAUCCUAAGUUGCUUUUGUUGUUUUUAUUAAGUUGAUUAUCCAUUUUACUUUAAGUUGUUUUACACUUCCUCCUAAGUUGCUUAUGAACCAAGGGAUCACGACUCCAUGCUUGUAGGUCACCUUGGUUGAAAAUACACUUGCAUUUUCAAUUGUAGGUUGGGCUUAUUAAGUUGUUCGCCACUCCUCUAUAUUUUGCAUAAAUUUUAGUGUUGAAUUUCCCCUAGUGGUUGUUGUUUAGUUGUCUUAACUAUUUAUCGUAAGUACAUUAAUUGUAUUUCCAGCAAUAUUUGUCCCAUCCUGUCUUUUUGCACCAGUGGUAGCUCAUUGAAGGAGUGCAUCAACUACGGCUGCUCUAGUUGCAUGCCAGUUGGGUAUGGAUGCAACUAAAGCAACGCCAGCAACAACUCAUCCUAGAAGUUGUCCCAGGUCCUUAUUUGUGAUAUUGCUAAGUUGUACCGGGAAGCGGUGGAGCCCGGGUGGCGUUGCUAGUACCAGCUCGAGCGGUGGUGAAGGAGGCCAUGGCGCCUAUCUCGAGGAUGUUACGGCGCCCGCGAUGCCUUCGUGAGCGCAAGCCCGCCGCGGCCCCUGACCAACGUUGUUUUCCUGCAUGGGAAGAUCAUGUGUUCAUUUGUGAUCUGCUGAAGUCGCAGUUUUCGGUCAAAUCGAGAUCUACAUGCAGAUGAGGAGGAAGACAAGUAUUUGGAGGAGUAAGAAGAGUGGGAGUAGUUCGCUUGUAGUUCGCCAAGCGAUAUCGCACGUUGUUGUCCCUGAAUUUCCCUUAUGUGUGACCUCUCUUUUUCCCUUGAGCAAUGCUAUAUGGAAUUCGUAUGAUAGCUGGUACGAUCAGACUCAUAGUGGAGUGGGUUAGUAUGUGUACCAUAUGAUGGAAAGCCCUCCAUGGGUCUUUUCAUACAGAUGUUGUACAUAUUUCUUUGUAUGGGACACAUUUCUGUUUUUCCUGAGGCCUUGUUUGGUACUAGUGUUUUUAGUGGGGAUUAGUGGGG